CCCCCCCUUUUGUCUCUCUAAUCGCCACCGGCCGCCACUGCUGGUAAUCGUCUUACGGCAACGGCACUCUCCAAAAUCCGGCCAAAUUCAUACAAUACACUCAUCACCUCACCCUCAUCAUUAAUCCCCCACCAAUUUUACCCAAAACCUUACCAAAUUCAUCGUAAUUGUAGAUCUAAAAAUAAGUGAAAACCCUAUUUUUCCCCUGUUCGAUUUCUUGGAAGUUUUAAGUUUUGAUUCGACCAAAACCUACGCUAGUCGAUUGUUCUCAGCAAGAGCAAUUGCCUAGCAUUAUUUGUUGGUUCAUUUCGAAUAAGACUCGAUUUGUCAAGCCAACCAGAUUUGUUGAGGGGAUUUCACAAGCAUUAGUUAGUUGAUCUUCGUCCCCUCAUCUCAGGUUCAAUUGGUUUUUUUAUUUUAUUAAUUUAUCUUGGUUACUGUUUCCCUUUCUUCUGCUGUCAAAAUUGCUUUGUUUUGGGUUUUUGUUUGGUCUGGGGCCUGCUUUUGCAUGCAGACAGGCUCGUUAGUACAAAGGCCCAAGGGGUUUUGGGGUUCAGUUGUUUAAAGGGCUCAAAUCCCAGCUUUGGUUGAAAGUAAUUGGCAUGCGUUUUAAGGGUAUCUAGGGGAAUUGGAUAGGAGUAAUCUUAGCCAACUGCCUAGGAAGUUGCUAGGAAGAUGGGAAUGGGAUGAAUUACUGAACAGGUUCAAAGGUUAAGGUCCAAAAUAAAAAGAUGAAAAUUGAGGGAGGGGUAACGGUAAAAGUUUAAAAUCAAUUUUGCUGCCCUAAAACUUGCUAUAAAAGGCUCAUUUCCUUCAUUUCUGGGCAGAGAUUAGAAUACCUAAAACUAGCAAACGACUGAAAUACACAUACACUAUUAGAGUUUUAGAUUUAGAAAGAAAAAACAAAAAAAGAAGAAAAAAAUCUCCAAAUACUGUUCCAUUGCAGUUGGUUUUGAUCUUUCUUGGGUAUUAAAAGCUUGAGUACAUUGUUGUUCUUUUUCUGGGUUCAAAACAUGAAAAGCUGAUUUAUAGUUAUUGUUUGUUGCUGUUUUAAAGCUCUGUUGAUAUUACUAUUUUCUUGUUGAAGUUCUGUGGUUGUUUUGGUUAAUAUCCAGGUAUCUCUUGGAUCUUAAAUGGCAUGGAAUUGAAAGCUUGAAACAUGUAGUUCAAAUGUGAAAAUCUGUUGAUACAAUACAUGUUGCCUUUUGAAUUUUAUCCCUAUUGUUCUUCAAGUUCAUCAUGCUUUCUGUAAUAAUGUAGCUUUCUUAUAUGCAUUCUUGUCUGCUCAUUCACGUUACUGUUAUUGUGUCACAUGUAUAAGUCUUGGAUUAGAGUUUUAGUUCAUUAUGUUGGAUUGUGAGCUGAGUAAAAUCUUCUCAUUGGGUGUAAAGAAUGUUCAAAAUCAUCUGCAGUAGAGAUCCAAGUCAGCUGAUGAACAUAUGCGUUGGGAUUUGUUUAAAUAUGUUUAGGUCAACACUGAUUUUCAGUUCAGGUUGGUCAUGCCAUAAUUCCGUUGUAGAACUAACCAAUUUCAUCUUCUUUGGUUUAGUUUAAAUAUGUUUUAAUUGGUUUGUUUUUUUUUCUCUGACUGAAAUGGCUAGGAACACAUUGGUUUAACUUUGAUAUAAGCAAAUGCUAGAUUUGUAAACUCAUUUUGAUGUUGGUUGGUAUUCAUAUAGGCCAUCUAAUUCACCUUCUAUGUAGC
rnacentral:lncRNA from 1 species